rnacentral:rRNA from 1 species
GAUGAACGCUGACAGAAUGCUUAACACAUGCAGGUCAACUUGAACUUCGGUUUGGGUGGCGGACGGGUGAGUAACGCGUAAAGAACUUGCCUCACAGCUAGGGACAACAUUUGGAAACGAAUGCUAAUACCUGAUAUUAUGAUUUUAGGGCAUCCUAGAAUUAUGAAAGCUAUAUGCGCUGUGAGAGAGCUUUGCGUCCCAUUAGCUAGUUGGAGAGGUAACGGCUCACCAAGGCGAUGAUGGGUAGCCGGCCUGAGAGGGUGAACGGCCACAAGGGGACUGAGACACGGCCCUUACUCCUACGGGAGGCAGCAGUGGGGAAUAUUGGACAAUGGACCAAGAGUCUGAUCCAGCAAUUCUGUGUGCACGAUGAAGUUUUUCGGAAUGUAAAGUGCUUUCAGUUGGGAAGAAAAAAAUGACGGUACCAACAGAAGAAGUGACGGCUAAAUACGUG